rnacentral:tRNA from 1 species
GGUUGUAGCUCACUGGUAGAGCGCUUGCCUAGCAUGUGUGAGGCAUUGGGUUCAAUUCUCAGCAUCA